GGGGGCUGUCUGUGAAGCCUUGUGGCAGUACAGCCUAGGUAAUUUGCUGAGCCAAAUGGGUGUCAGGGUCAGUCCAAGUGAAAGCGGAGAGGCUGGGAUGAAGGGUGCAAAGGAAUAGUAAAGAAAGCAUGUUUGAGAUCCAGAACAGAAUAAUGGGUUGUAGAGGGAGGUAUUGAGGAUAGGAGAGUAUAUGGGUUUGGCACCACAGGGUGGAUAGGCAAAACAAUUUGGUUGAUAAGGUGCAGAUCCUGAAC
rnacentral:lncRNA from 1 species